GUAGUUCAGUGGUAGAAUUCUCACCUUCUGUGUGAGAGACGCUGGUUCGAUUCCAGCC
rnacentral:tRNA from 1 species